CGCGGAGUGGCGAGCAAUGGAAGCUCACCUGGCUCAUAACCAGGAGUAUGCAGGUCCGAGUCCUGUCUCCGCAAUCA
rnacentral:tRNA from 1 species